rnacentral:rRNA from 1 species
CAUAAACGACUCUCGGCAACGGAUAUCUCGGCUCACGCAUCGAUGAAGAACGUAGCAAAAUGCGAUACUUGGUGUGAAUUGCAGAAUCCCGUGAACCAUCGAGUUUUUGAACGCAAGUUGCGCCCGAAGCCUUUUGGCAGAGGGCACGUCUGCCUGGGCGUCACAC